GAUGAACGCUGGCGGCGUGCCUAAUACAUGCAAGUCGAGCGAACAGAUAAGGAGCUUGCUCCUUUGACGUUAGCGGCGGACGGGUGAGUAACACGUGGAUAACCUACCUAUAAGACUGGGAUAACUUCGGGAAACCGGAGCUAAUACCGGAUAACAUAUUGAACCGCAUGGUUCAAUAGUGAAAGGCGGCUUUGCUGUCACUUAUAGAUGGAUCCGUGCCGUAUUAGCUAGUUGGUAAGGUAACGGCUUACCAAGGCAACGAUACGUAGCCGACCUGAGAGGGUGAUCGGCCACACUGGAACUGAGACACGGUCCAGACUCCUACGGGAGGCAGCAGUAGGGAAUCUUCCGCAAUGGGCGAAAGCCUGACGGAGCAACGCCGCGUGAGUGAUGAAGGUCUUCGGAUCGUAAAACUCUGUUAUCAGGGAAGAACAAAUGUGUAAGUAACUGUGCACAUCUUGACGGUACCUGAUCAGAAAGCCACGGCUAACUACGUG
rnacentral:rRNA from 1 species